rnacentral:tRNA from 1 species
GCCUUGGUGGCGGAAUUGGUAGACGCGCUAGAUUCAAAAUCUAGUGAGGGCAACUUCAUGGGAGUUCGAGUCUCCCCCGAGGCACCA